GACUAGAUAGUAUACAAAUUACAAUUAAUUGCAGAUUAAUAAAUAUCUUUUUAGGUUUUAGUUU
rnacentral:tRNA from 1 species